rnacentral:rRNA from 1 species
AGUGAAUAGAUACCCCGGUAGUCCUGGCCCUAAACGAUGUCCACUAGAUUGCGGAACCUUGACGGGUUUCGCGGUCGGAGCAAAAAAAGUGUUAAAGUGGACCGCCUGGGAAGUACGGUCGCAAGGCUAAAACUCAAAGGAAUUGACGGGGGCUCACACAAGCGGUGGAGCUUGUGGUUCAAUUCGAAAGCAACGCGCAGAACCUUACCUGGGCUUGACAUGCUUGGAUUAUCCGGAUGAAAGUUCGGUAGGCCCCGCAAGGGGUACAACAAGUACAGGUGCUGCAUGGCUGUCGUCAGCUCGUGUCGUGAGAUGUCGGG